rnacentral:tRNA from 1 species
GGUUGUGGCUCAGUGGUAGAGCACUUGCCCUUCACUUGCAAGGUACUGGGUUCGAUCCUCAGCACCA